AGCGGUUGGGAGUCUUACAAAUCGAACUUCCCUCUCGCCUUUUACUAGAGGAAACCGUGCAAGGCUCCUACACCGACCGCAUUACCUAUUUUUCGAACGCUCAGUUCUUCCUGAGAU
rfam:Sphaerobolus stellatus SS14 unplaced genomic scaffold SPHSTscaffold_133, whole genome shotgun sequence.